rnacentral:sRNA from 1 species
AACUUCAGAACACGCAUACCUAAGACAGUAGGUGCCUUCGGGCUUAAUCCCCUACCGAGGUGUUAUGAUAUACGUUUCCCGUAAACGGACAAUCAUGGCCUUCGCUGUCUUGGCGGAGGCCUUUAUUCAUGCACCG